UCUGGUUGAUUCUGCCAGUAGUCAUAUGCUUGUUUCAAGGACUAAGCCAUGCAUGCCUCAGAAUCACUGCACUUGCAGGAAUCUGCGCAUGGCUCAUUACAUCAGACGUAAUCUGCCGCAAAAAUGUUGCGGUCAACGCAAAAUUGGAUACCUUGGCGAAACGCCAAGUUAAUACAUGAACAAACGGGACGUCCUCCAUUCACGCGGUGUGAGGUUUGCCGAUCAUCGUAGCGAGGCGUCUAGCGAAUGAAUGAAAUUAAAACCAACGUCGCAGACGCGGCAGCAACACCCAGACGUGUUGAAUCAAUUCAUUCCGUGCGAAAGCCGGUUUACCGGCGUCUUUUGACGAACAACUGCCCUAUCAGCCAGUGAUGGCCGUGUAGUGGACUGCCAUGGCGUUGACGGGAGCGGGGGAUUAGGGUUCGAUUCCGGAGAGGGAGCCUGAGAAAUAGCUACCACUUCUACGGAGGGCAGCAGGCGCGCAAAUUGCCCGAUGUCAAGAAAAAAGAUGAGGCAGCGAAAAGAAAUAGGCCUCCCGAGCGUCCUCGUGGCAUUCGGGAGUUUUCAAUGGGGGAUAUUUAAAGCCAUCCAAAAUCGAGUAACAAUUGGAGGACAAGUCUGGUGCCAGCACCCGCGGUAAUUCCAGCUCCAAAAGCGUAUAUUAACGCUGUUGCUGUUAAAGGGUUCGUAGUUGAACUGUAGACCGGCGAGAUUUUACAACCAAGUCCUGUCCGCCUCUGGGCACGUUUGACCGUUGUGCUCCCGGUCUGUGAACAUCAGAAACGAAAUCCACGGGAGCGUUUCCUUCCCGAUUCUCGCAUGUUAUGCAUGCCGGGGGGCGCCCGUGACUUUUACUGUGACUAAAAAAGUGUGACCAAAGCAGUCAUUCGACAUGAAUUAGAAAGCAUGGGAUAACAAAGGAGCAUCCUACGGUGCUACCGUUUCGGCUUUUGUUGGUUUUAAAAGCCUGUGGGAGAUUAUGGGUGCGUAUGACCGGCGGCCCGGGGUUCGUCCCCGCGCCUUCGCCGUGUUUGGGACUUGUGCCCAGCGCGGCGACUUGCGUACCCAGGAAUGAAGGAGGGUUGUUCGGGGGAGAACGUACUUGAGCGUGAGAGGUGAAAUUCUUAGACCGCUCAAAGACGAACUAUAGUGAAGGCAUUCUCCAAGGAUACCUUCCUCAAUCAAGAACCAAAGUGUGGAGACCGAAGAUGAUUAGAGACCAUUGUAGUCCACACCACAAACGGUGACACCCAUGAAUUGGGGAGUAUUUGGCUGGUGGUCCGCUGGGCUUCUGCUCAGUCGGCACCCCGCCAAAAGAACAUUAAUUUACGUGCAUAUUCAAUUCGGGCUUCGCGGCCCAACAACGGGAAUAUCCUCAGCACGUUAUCUGACUGUUUCACGCGAAAGCUUUGAGGUUACAGUCUCAGGGGGGAGUACGUUCGCAAGAGUGAAACUUAAAGAAAUUGAUGGAAUGGCACCACAAGACGUGGAGCGU
rnacentral:rRNA from 1 species